ACACUGGUACUGAGACACGGACCAGACUCCUACGGGAGGCAGCAGUGAGGAAUAUUGGUCAAUGGGCGAGAGCCUGAACCAGCCAAGUCGCGUGAAGGAUGACUGUCUUAUGGAUUGUAAACUUCUUUUAUACGGGAAUAACAAGAGUCACGUGUGGCUCCCUGCAUGUACCGUAUGAAUAAGCAUCGGCUAACUCCGUGCCAGCAGCCGCGGUAAUACGGAGGAUGCGAGCGUUAUCCGGAUUUAUUGGGUUUAAAGGGUGCGUAGGCGGCCUGUUAAGUCAGCGGUGAAAUCUAGGAGCUUAACUCCUAAAUUGCCAUUGAUACUGGCGGGCUUGAGUGUAGAUGAGGUAGGCGGAAUGCGUGGUGUAGCGGUGGAAUGCAUAGAUAUCACGCAGAACUCCGAUUGCGAAGGCAGCUUACUAAGGUACAACUGACGCUGAAGCACGAAAGCGUGGGUAUCAAACAGGAUUAGAUACCCUGGUAGUCCACGCAGUAAACGAUGAUAACUGGGCGUAUGCGAUAUACAGUAUGCUCCUAAGCGAAAGCGUUAAGUUAUCCACCUGGGGAGUACGCCGGCAACGGUGAAACUCAAAGGAAUUGACGGGGGCCCGCACAAGCGGAGGAACAUGUGGUUUAAUUCGAUGAUACGCGAGGAACCUUACCCGGGCUUGAACUAACGGUGACGAAUCUAGAGAUAGAUUUUUCUUCGGACACCGUUGGAGGUGCUGCAUGGUUGUCGUCAGCUCGUGCCGUGAGGUGUCGGCUUAAGUGCCAUAACGAGCGCAACCCCUUUCUUCAGUUGCCAUCAGGUGAUGCUGGGCACUCUGUAGAUACUGCCACCGCAAGGUGUGAGGAAGGUGGGGAUGACGUCAAAUCAGCACGGCCCUUACGUCCGGGGCUACACACGUGUUACAAUGGGGGGUACAGAAGGCCGCUACCCGGCGACGGGAUGCUAAUCUUUAAAACCUCUCUCAGUUCGGAUCGGAGUCUGCAACCCGACUCCGUGAAGCUGGAUUCGCUAGUAAUCGCGCAUCAGCCAUGGCGCGGUGAAUACGUUCCCGGGCCUUGUACACACCGCCCGUCAAGCCAUGGGAGUCUGGAGUACCUAAAGUCCGUAACCGCAAGGGUCGGCCUAGGGUAAUACAGGUGACUGGGGCUAAGUCGUAACAAGGUAGCCGUACCGGAAGGUGCGGCUG
rnacentral:rRNA from 1 species